CCUACGGGUGGCAGCAGUGAGGAAUAUUGGUCAAUGGACGAGAGUCUGAACCAGCCAAGUAGCGUGAAGGAUGACUGCCCUAUGGGUUGUAAACUUCUUUUAUAUGGGAAUAAAACGUUCCACGUGUGGGAUUUUGUAUGUACCAUAUGAAUAAGGAUCGGCUAACUCCGUGCCAGCAGCCGCGGUAAUACGGAGGAUCCGAGCGUUAUCCGGAUUUAUUGGGUUUAAAGGGAGCGUAGGUGGAUUGUUAAGUCAGUUGUGAAAGUUUGCGGCUCAACCGUAAAAUUGCAGUUGAAACUGGCAGUCUUGAGUACAGUAGAGGUGAGCGGAAUUCGUGGUGUAGCGGUGAAAUGCUUAGAUAUCACGAAGAACUCUGAUUGCGAAGGCAGUUCACUGGACUGCAACUGACACUGAGGCUCGAAAGUGUGGGUAUCAAACAGGAUUAGAUACCCGAGUAGUC
rnacentral:rRNA from 1 species